AAGGGGGGAUUCACCUGAGUGGGCCUCGGGCCCAUGACGGCGGGGAGGCAGGCCUGGGGCGGACGUGCGACUGGGCCGAGGGGAGCUCUGCGGGAGGAGGCCGGCUGCGGGGCUAGUGGGCCGAGGGUCCAGGGGCGCAGUCAACGGCCCGGAGGAGGGUUGAUCGUCUCCUCCCGUGCUCCCCAGGAGCACGAGGGCACGGGAAUGGCGGCGGCGCCCCCACUGCCGGUGGCGUGCGGCGUAGGGCCACGGAGGAGAGGCAGAUCCGGUAGACCAGGGGCGGAUCCGACCUCGGGGACCCGUUCCCAACGACGGAAUGGCCGGCGACGAGCCCGACGACGACGCGGAAGGUGCGGGGCGGCGGCGGCUGCUGGUGGCCUUGGGGAAGCCAGGGAGGCAAACCAUGCGCGGGCGGCGGCCGGCUAGACCUGGCGGUGGUUGCCGACGAUGGCGAAGCUGCUGCAGCUGCUCGGGGUGAGGGCUGCGCUCGAACGGCGGCGGCAGGAGGUGGGAGGCACAGGGCAGCGGGGUCGCGCGGAGGCACAGCGCGCAGAUGGGCUGCUCAGGGCCCAGAUGGGCUCGGGCAGGCCCCGAUCUGGGCUGGGAGGGCCGCGCGAGGAAGGAGACAGGGAAGGAGGCGGCGGGGAGCUGGUUGGCUGGGCGCGGAUCCCAAGGAGGCUAGGGUUAGGCCAGAUUAGAAAGGGCUAGCCUUCCUUUUACAACAAGAGGGGCUAGGUUUAGGGAUAGAGACCGUUUUCGGGCCGUUCGAUCGAGAUCGGACGGUCCCCGAAGUGUCCUAGGUUUAGGUUUGGCUUGAUGGGUCGUGCAGCAUGGCUUAGGCAGAGAUGAGAGGGAAGUAGUGCGGCGCGACAACGAAUUUUCAAACACCGACAGACGUCCAACGGUAGACCGAAUACGGUGCCGCUACGGUCGACCGUUUCGGUACCAGACGAUCUCCGAUCGCGACGAAAUUCGACAGGCGGACUAGCUAUAUUAAAAUAAGACCGCACGUCAAAUCUCAACCCGAUGAGAAAAAGUUUUACGCACACUUUUAAAACAGGUUUUCGACGAUGCCGCGGGCGCGCGCGAGUGCGGUCGGGCUCAGAACGGACAACGACGAGAACCGGCAACUAACAACGGAUGCAAGUUUGAAAACUGGCGGCAACGGAGAUGCCGAUGCAAUGCAGAUGAUGCGCAUGAUGCGAUGAUGACGCGACAAAAGAAAAUAGACACACGACGAAAACGGAAUAAAGGGGGAAUCUUCUGGAACGUCGGCAUCGGGCUGUCACAAGCCCCUCCCUUCCCCUAUAUAUACCGGGCACUUUUGGCCAUUGGGAGAUAGACUUUUCCCUCUCUCUCGGCGCAGCCCUUCCCUUCUUCCCCUCCUCUCUGCCGGUGCUUGGCGAAGCCCUGCCAGGAGACCUCAUCUCUCCAUCGACACCACGCCGUCGUGUUGCUGGAGUUCGUCCCCAACCUCUCCCUCCUCCUUGCUGGAUCAAGGUGCGGGAGACGUCACUUUUGGUACUCACACUAUGAAUAUGUGUAACAUCACGAUCGAGAUUCAUCAAGAAUAAACCAUUUACCAGCGGAGCAUGACCAUAAAACAUAUCACUCAUAUAAAUAGAACAACCAUUAUUCUCUGACUUUUGCACGUGUGUUGAACGCGGAGGUGCCGUAGUUCGGCACUAGAUCGGAAUCACUGCGAGUACGACUCCAUCAACCGCGUUCUAGCAACGCUUCCGCUUAGCGAUCUUCAAAGGUACGAAGAUGCUCUUAUCCCUCUCUCGUUGCUGGUCUCUCCAUAGGAAGAUCUGAAUAUGCGUAGGAAAAUUUUGAAUUUAUUCUACGUAACCCAUCAUUCCCGACGUGCAUCGUCACCUCGUCCUUGGCCAGUCUCCGCUUAUUCCGCAGUUCCUGCUUUGAGUUGCAAAUGUGAGCAACAACACCGGUAUCAAAUACCCAGGAGCUACUACGAGCGCUGGUAAGGUACAUAUCAAUAACAUGUAUAUCACAUAUACCUUUAACGUUGCCGGCCUUCUUGUCCGCUAAGUAUUUGGGGCAGUUCCGCUUCCAGUGACCUUUUCCCUUGCAAUAGAAGCACUCAGUCUCAGGCUUGGGUCCAUUCUUUUUCUUCUUCCCGGCAUCUGGCUUACCGGGCGCGGCAACAACUUUGCCGUCUUUCUUGAAGUUCUUCUUACCCUUGCCUUUCUUGAAACUAGUGGUUUUGUUGACCAUCAACACUUGACGCUCUUUCUUGAUUUCUACUUCUUCAGACUUGAGCAUCGAGUACAACUCGGGAAUGGUCUUCUCCAUCCCUUGCAUGUUGUAGUUAAGCACAAAGCCUUUGUAGCUUGGUGGGAGAGACUGGAAGAUUAUGUCGAUUAUAGCAUCAUCCGGAAGUUCGACUCCAAGUGAAGUCAGACGAUCGUGUAACCCAGACAUUUUGAGUAUGUGCUGACUGACAUAACUGUUCUCCUCCAUCUUACAGCUAAAGAACUUGUCGGAGACUUCAUAUCUCUCGACACGGGCAUGAGCUUGAAAAACUAGCUUCAGCUCCUGGAACAUUUCAUAUGCUCCGUGUUGCUCAAAACGCCUUUGGAGCCCCGUUUCUAAACUGUAUAACAUGCCACACCUAACCAGAGAGUGGUCACACUCCGUGUUUGCCAGACGUUCAGGGUGUCCUGGGCUGCUGCGGGAGCGGGAGGGUCACCUAGCGGCGCAUCAAGGACAUAAGCCUUUUUAGCUGCUUCAAGGAUGAGCUUCAAGUUGCGAACCCAGUCCGCAUAGUUGCUACCAUCAUCUUUCAGCUUGUUUUUCUCUAGGAAUGCGUUGAAAUUGAGGUUGACGUUGGCCAUCUACAAUAUUUAUAAAGACAACUUUUAGACUAAGUUCAUGACAAUUACGUUCAUUUAAUCAAAUUAAGUAUGAACUCCCACUUAAAUCGACAUCCCUCUAGUCAUCUAAGUGAUACAUGAUCCAUGUUGACUAACCCGUUUCCGAUCAUCACGUGAGACGGACUAGUCACCAUGGUGAGCAACUUCAUGCUGAUCGUAUUCAAUCAUACGACUCAUAUUCGACCUUUCGGUCUCUUGUAUUCGAGGUCAUGUAUGUACAUGCUAAGCUCUUCGAGUCAACCUAGGUGUUUCGCGUGUGUAAAUCUGGCUUACACCCGUUGUAUGCGAAUGUUAGAAUCUAUCACACCCGAUCAUCACGUGGUGCUUCGAGACAACGAUCCUUCGCAACAGUGCACACUUAGGGAAAUACGUUCUCGAAAUUUUAAGAGGGGUCAUCUUAUUAUGCUACCGUCGUUCUAAGCAAUAAGAUGUAAAACAUGAUAAAAAUCACAAUGCAAUCAUAUAGUGACAUGAUAUGGCCAUUAUCAUCUUUGCUCUUUCGAUCUCCAUCUUCAGGCAUCGCAUGAUCAUCAUCGUCACCGGCGUGACACCAUGAUCUCCAUCAUCAUGAUCUCCAUCAUCGUGUCUCCGUGAAGUCGUCACGCCAACUACUACUAUCACUACUACUAUAGCUAACCGUUAGCAAUGAAGUAAAAGUAGUAAGCACAUGGUGUUGCAUCUCAUACAAUAAAUUAAGACAACUCCUAUGGCUCCUGCCGGUUGUCAUACUCAUCGACAUGUAAGUCGUGAAACCUAUUACAAUAACAUGAUCAUCUCAUACAUCAUACAUGCAACAUCACAACUUUGGCCAUAUCACAUCACAUGUCAAACCGUGCAAAAACAAGUUAGACAUCCUCUAAUUGUUGUUGCAAGUUUUACGUGGUUGAUUUGGGUUUCUAGCAAAAACGCCUUCUUACCUACGUGACAGCCACAACGAUGAUAUGCCAAAGCUAUUUACCCUUCAUAAGGACCCUUUUCAUCAUAUCCAAUCCGACUAGAGUAGGAGAGACAGACACCCGCUAGCCACCUUUAUGCACGGUGUGCAUGUCUGUCGGUGGAACAAGUCUCACGUAAGCGUACGUGUACAGUCGGUCCAGGCCGCUCCAUCCCACAAUACCGCCGGAAAAGAAUAAGACUAGUAGCGGCAAGCAAAUUGACAAAUCAUCGCCCACAACUUUUGUGUUCUACUCGUGCAUAGAAUCUACGCAUAAAAAACAUGGCUCUGAUACCACUGUUGGGUAACGUAGCAUAAAUUCAAAAUUUUCCUACGCAUAUUCAGAUCUUCCUAUGGAGAGACCAACAACGAGAGAGGGGUAAGAGCAUAUUCAUACCUUUGAAGAUCGCUAAGCGGAAGCGUUGCUAGAACACGGUUGACGGAGUCGUACUCGCAGCGAUUCAGAUCGCGGUGUGAUUCCGAUCUAGUGCCGAACUAUGGCACCUGUGCGUUCAACACACGUGCAGCCCGGUGAGGUCUCCCACACCUUGAUCCAGCAAGGAGGAGGGAUAGGUUGGGGAAGAACUCCAGCAGCACGACGGCGUGGUGUCGAUGGAGAGAUGAGGUCUCCCGGCAGGGCUUCGCCAAGCACCGGCAGAGAGGAGGAGAAAGAAGGGCAGGGCUGCGUCGAGGGAGAGGGAGAAGUCUAUCUCCCAAGGGCCAAAACCCCUCUCUAUUUAUAGGAGGAGGGGGAGGGCUGCGCCACCCCUAGGGUUCCCUCCCUAGGGGCCGGCGGCCACUAGAUGGGAGAGCGGGGGGGGGGGGNNNNNNNNNNNNNNNNNNNNNNNNNNNNNNNNNNNNNNNNNNNNNNNNNNNNNNNNNNNNNNNNNNNNNNNNNNNNNNNNNNNNNNNNNNNNNNNNNNNNGGGCUCCGCCCGAGCUCCGCAGAAACGCGAUCUAGAGGUAAAACCAUGGAGAUAUGUGGUCGGGCUGCCGUGGCAAAGUUAUGUCAAAUCAGCCCUAAAACCUCCGUAUAUAUAGGGGGAAGAGGGGGAGCCUUGCCUUGGGGUCCAAGGACCCCCAAGGACUUCGGCCGAGCCAAGGGGGGAAACCCUCCCCUUCCAAACCGAGUCCAACUAGGUUUGGAAGGAGGAGUCCUUCCCCCUUUUCCUACCUCCUCUUUUUUUUCUCUUUGAUUUUCUUCCUAUGGCGCAUAGGGCCUUCUUGGGAUGUCCCACCAGCCCACUAAGGGCUGGUGCGCCACCCCCAAGGCCUAUGGGCUUCCCCGGGGUGGGUUGCCCCCCCCCCCCCCCCGGAGACUCCCCGCCCCAUGAGACCCCUUGGGGCGUGACACCCCUCCCGAUGGUCCCCGGCACCCCUCCCGGCACUCCCGGUACACUACCGAUGAGCCCGAAACUUUUCCGGUAAUGCACGAAAACCUUCCGGUAAUCAAAUGAGGUCAUCCUAUAUAUCAAUAUUUGUUUCCGUACCAUUCCAGAAACCCUCGUGACGUCCGUGAUCUCAUCCGGGACUCCGAACAACAUUCGGUAACCAACCAUAUAACUCAAAUACGCAUAAAACAACGUCGAACCUUAAGUGUGCAGACCCUGCGGGUUCGAGAACUAUGUAGACAUGACCCGAGAGACUCCUCGGUCAAUAUCCAAUAGCGGGACCUGGAUGCCUAUAUUGGAACCUAAAUAUUCUACGAAGAUCUUAUCGUUUGAACCUCGGUGCCAAGGAUUCAUAUAAUCCCGUAUGUCAUUCCCUUUGUCCUUCGNNNNNNNNNNNNNNNNNNNNNNNNNNNNNNNNNNNNNNNNNNNNNNNNNNNNNNNNNNNNNNNNNNNNNNNNNNNNNNNNNNNNNNNNNNNNNNNNNNNNUGAUGAAUAGGGUAAAUUUAAUAAAUAGUUUGGAGUUGGAAAUUGAUACUUAUUUGAUUUCCACUUCAAUUGUUAUGACCAAACAUUGGUCAAUGCAAAUCAGUACCUCGAAAUACUAACUCCAUACAUGUUGGACUAAUUUGUUAUGAGCAUCAGGUUGAAUCAAUUAUAAGGGUACUUGGAAAGAUACCCGGCUUGAAGUGAUGUUUGGAUCCUAAUUCAAACCAACUUCAACUUAAGAAAUGAUAGCCACAUUAGCCCUGCCACCUUUCAUUUCAUGUCUUGAGCAUGCAUCAUAGUGUUGCAUUUCCGUGAAGUAAUUGUUGUUCUUUCUUGUUUGUCGGUGUUGUUCCCCCUCGCUAAACGAUGUUUCCGACGAUGUGAUCGUUGACAUUGAUGAAGACUCAUUGCUAUCUUCAAACGUGUCAGGCAAGCAAACCCCCCUUGAGCAUAUUGAAAUAAACCCACUCUCUCGCUCCUGCUCUCUUUUACUGCAUUAGGACAAACACGAUUCAACUGUACAUGUUAUCGGUAGUUGAACUCAUUCCUCUGCAUGACCUGAUUUUGUCACAGUAAAUAGUUGAAACCACUUAGCAUGAGUAGCAACUGCUUGAGCCUUGUUGUGCUUACUCGUCCAUGCUUUGUUUACAAUGCCUGCUAUGCUUAGAGUCGUGUCGGGUCUGAUCCGUCUGAAUGAUGAAUCGGAAUGGUUGUGUCCAUAUCCUACAGUGUGAGAGUAAAAGUGUGAAUCUGAUUCGGUAAAGGUAGCGAUGAGAGGCCAUGUAGGAGUACAUGGUGGGUUGUCUCAUUGGGACCGUCCUUAAGAACUGAGUUAUGUGUAUGUUAUCCAAGACAAGAUACUACCAUGCAUUGGGCCCUGAAAUAUGACCCCGCUCGGCUUAUUAAUUGCCUAGAUCCCUGUCCAGGAGUUGCAAUUAGUUUCUGGUGUUUGUAGGAAAAGUGUUGGCGGCCGUGUUUAGCUCUUCCCGACGGGGUAGGCUUCUCGGCGGUAGAUACACAGUGGCACGGUGUACCAAGUGGCACCCAGAUGGUGGGCUUGGGAACCCUGCGCGCAUCGUUUGGGGCCGUAGAGGAAACCUCGGCCGGACUUCCUUGCGGGUUCAGUCUCAAAUAGGCGAUAAACCUGGACUAGGGUCUUGUGUGGUUAACGGUCGUGGCCGACACCCACGCCAGUGCUUCCGCUUGAAGGUUGCCGAGAUGCAUGACGUGCAUAUGGUGCUAAGUGGUGGGAGCAUGUGUGAAGAAGUAUACCCCUGCAGGGUGAUUCAAUCUGUUCGAAUAGCCGCGUCCUCGGUUAUGGACUACUUGGAAACGUUACGUGGUACAUAGACAAUUUAAAUGGAUACUCUAAAACAUGCAAGAUAAGUGUGAGUGCUANNNNNNNNNNNNNNNNNNNNNNNNNNNNNNNNNNNNNNNNNNNNNNNNNNNNNNNNNNNNNNNNNNNNNNNNNNNNNNNNNNGACGAGAGUGGAUCCAUAGUGGUGUAUUGAAUUGGUGAAUAUGUGGACUCGUGUGCGCUAUCCCAGCUCAAAGAAAGAACUUGUAGUCGUAGUACAGGUUAGCCAAGAGUCAAAGCUGGCUUGCUUCAAUCAAACCCCACAAUCCUGUCAUUGAAACAUGAUGCAUAUGUAGAUAGUUCUGAUGUAAGACUUGCUGAGUACCUUUGUACUCACGGUUGCUUUAUUUAUGUUUUUGCAGAGAAGACUUAGACUCAUUAAAGGUUCUACGCGAUGUGUNNNNNNNNNNNNNNNNNNNNNNNNNNNNNNNNNNNNNNNNNNNNNNNNNNNNNNNNNNNNNNNNNNNNNNNNNNNNNNNNNNNNNNNNNNNNNNNNNNNNNNNNNNNNNNNNNNNNNNNNNNNNNNNNNNNNNNNNNNNNNNNNNNNNNNNCCACUUUUAGUAGAUGUCUGUACCCAGACAUGAUUUGCUUCCGCUUGUUGUUUGUAUGACUUGAGUGUCGGGUCACGAGACCCCUGUUUGUAAUAUCAUACUAUGUUGACUCUUAUGAGUCUUUAAUAAAUGCUUGAGUCAUAGAGUUAUGUUGUGAUGCCAUGUUGUAUCUACACAUAUCGUGCAUAAUGUGUGUAUGUUUGAAAUGCAUUAUAUGUGUGGGAUUCGACACCUAGUUGUUUGCCUUUAGCAGUACUCUUUACAGGGAAAUGCCUCUUUGUGAUUCCAUCGAGCCUUGGUAGUUUGGUACUGCUCGGAACACAUUGAUUGAUCGGCANNNNNNNNNNNNNNNNNNNNNNNNNNNNNNNNNNNNNNNNNNNNNNNNNNNGAUUGAUCGGCAUGUAUCCUGCUUUGCUGCUGUGUCUGUCCCCUCGGGGAAAUGUCACGCGGUGUAAUGGAGUCCUUGUAACUUGCUACGACUCGUCUACACACGCUGAUGACCGACACCUGCUUUGCUGGGUUAUGUAUGCAUGUCCCUGUACGGUUGUACCGCUGGGGUUUAUAACUAGUCAUGUCGACCCGGGUUCUUUAUCCUUUGAACGCUAGCAACAUAUUCAUAUACGUGAGCCAAAAGACGCAAACGGUCCCGACCAAGGUAAGGUGGCAGCCGUGGAGUUUAUCGUGCGUGAAGCCGCAAAGUGAUGUGAUGUGUUACAGGCUAGGUUCUUAUGACUCAGGAUCGGGGUCCCGACAUGAACAUGGUGNNNNNNNNNNNNNNNNNNNNNNNNNNNNNNNUUCUUAUGACUCAGGAUCGGGGUCCCGACAGCUUUGGUACCAGAGCUUGACUGCCUGUAGGAUAACCAAGCCAAACUGGUCGAUGUUGAGUCUAGCAACUCUUUAGUUAUAUAAGGGAAUUGUUUGUGGAAGGGAACGUAAGGCUCUUUUUACUCCUUUCCUUGUGUCAUUCUUAUUCUGAGUCACCCUCUUCUUUAUUCUACGGGGUUUAAGAAUUAGGCUUUCUCAUCUAUUCAUUAGGAUGACGAGUUACUAUGUUGGAGACUUAUAGAGAAGUUGUUGUCUUCCUAGAUCAGUGUCUCCAUAAGAAUUCAAUUGUUAUGUUGUUAGUUUUCUUGCAGGUUGCCUNNNNNNNNNNNNNNNNNNNNNNNNNNNNNNNNNNNNNNNNNNNNNNNNNNNNNNNNNNNNNNNNNNNNNNNNNNNNNNNNNNNNNNNNNNNNNNNNNNNNUUUCUUCGGAAAGUGCACUGUAUGCUCAUUACCGUUGACAUGGACAGUGACAUUGCCUUUGUUGCAAUCUAUAACAGUCCCUGCAGUGUUUAAAAAGGGUCUUCCAAGGAUGACCGCCAUGGCAUCAUCCUCGGGAAUAUCCAGGAUAUAAAAAGUCUGUUAAGAUAGNNNNNNNNNNNNNNNNNNNNNNNNNNNNNNNNNNNNNNNNNNNNNNNNNNNNNNNNNNNNNNNNNNNNNNNUUUCAGGCACAUCCUCGCAAAUGCCGAUAGGGAAAGCAGUUGAUUUGUCGGCCAUUUGUAGAGAGAUUUCAGUGGGUGUCAACUUAUCCAGUUCAAGUAUACGAUAAAGAGAGAUACAGGAAUAACACUAACACCGGCUCCAAGGUCGCAUAAAGCAGUUCUAACGUAGUUGCCUUUAAUGGAGCAAGGUAUAGUGGGCACUCCGGGAUCACCGAGUUUCUUAGGAGUUCCACCCUUGAAGGUAUAAUUAGCAAGCAUGGUGGAAAUCUCAACCUCAAGUGUCCUCCUCUUAUUAGUCAGAAUAUCUUUCAUGUACUUAGCAUACGGAGACAUUUUGAGCAUAUCUGUCAAACGCAUUUGCAGAAAGACAUGUCUAAUCAUUUCAACAAAUCGCUCAAAAUCCUCAUCAUCCUUUUUCUUGGAAGGUUUGGGAGGAAAGGGCAUGGGUUUCUGAACCCAUGGUUCCCUUUCUUUACCUUGCUUCCUAGCAGCAAAGUCAUUCUUAUCGUAUCUCCUAUUCUUAGGCUGUGGGUUAUCAAGAUCAACAGGUUCAAUCUCCACAUCCUUAUCAUUGAUAGGUUGAGCAUCGUCAUGAACAUCACUAUCGAUAUUAUCAUCAGGCUCAUGUUCAUCACCAGAUUGUGUUUCGGCAUGAGAGGCAGAGACAUCGUUUGAAUUCUGAGCUGUAACAGCAUCAGGGUUGCUAGCGUGCAAGUUCCUAUCAACAUCAUAGCUAGCCUUAAAAGCAAGAAAGUCCUAAGCUAUCUCUCCCUCCAUAACAUAACCCUUAGGCNNNNNNNNNNNNNNNNNNNNNNNNNNNNNNNNNNNNNNNNNNNNNNNNNNNNNNNNNNNNNNNNNNNNNNNNNNNNNNNNNNNNNNNNNNNNNNNNNNNNAAGGAAAAGACACUUGACAUUAGAAAAGCUUUAGCAUACGAACAAUAUAAUCUAGUGUUAUGCUUAGGAUUGGGUCUUGUCCAUCACAUCAUUCUCCCAAUGAUGUGAUCCCGUUAUCAAUGACAUCCAAUGCCCAUGAUCAGGAAACCAUGAUAAUCAAUUGACUAACGAGCUAGCCAACUAGAGGCUUGCUAGGGACAUAUUGUGAUCUAUUUAUUCGCACAUGUAUUACUGUUUCCUGUUAAUACAAUUAUAGCAUGAACAAUAGACGAUUAUCAUGAACAAGGAAAUAUGAUAAUUCUAGGGCAUAUUUCCAACACUUUAUUCAUAAUUUGGACACUUUAAUUCCCCUUCAUUGUUUAAUUCCCAGCAAUCAACUAAUAUUUUGAGUGAACUGUUUAUUUUAGACCUUUGACGAUCAUAUCCAUGGUCAUAUCAUAUUCUAUAUAUAUUACACCGUUAAAUGUAUUACUUUUAUCUAUAUUAUGACUUGUUAUCCACAUAUAUGUGAUAGACAUGGGACCCGGGUCAUUUUUGUCCUGGGUCCGCCCCUGAGUACUACUCCCUCCGUCCUAAAAUAAAUGUCUUAACCUUAUUAUAACUUUGUACUAGCUCUAGUAUAAAGUUUUGAGACAGUUAUUUUAGGACGGAGGGAGUACUUGUUUGUCAAUGUAUGCAUGUGUUGGAGUGCCUGCUUUAGUAACAUAUAGAUAAAACGUAUCUAGAGCACCAGAGAUAUUAUACGUACAAUAUGAUGGGUUUGGUCUGAGCCCGCUAGCCAAGCUUAUGCCACUAAACAUAUGGCAGCUCAAGAAUGUCUGAUGGUCACGCCUAGAUAGGUGCAGUACAUGCAUGCAAAAAAUCCAGUGUCCCGUUUUAUUUUACUAGCAAAAGGGCCCGUGCGUUGCAACGGAAGAAAAAAUACCACACGCUUUUAAUUUUUUUAUAAUCAUUUUGAUUUAUUAAAAUAAUAAGCUAACUAACUAAUGUACUCAGUCCUAUCCUAUUAUGUUGAGAAAUCAACCCGUCCAUUGUUAAUUCCACCACGAUGAGAAAUUGAGCGGGACAAGCAAAGCAAAACAAACAGGCUACGUGAAUUGAUCGAUGGACUGUUAUCUUAUUUCACUCAUGGGGUAGAGAAUGUGGGAUCAGAUGACAAACUAAAGGUGGUGUUCCAUUCUCUCUCUACAACAAUGCAAUCUUACAUUCAAUACAUUCGUUCAUCAGCAAACAAAUUUCCACAAAACAAAAUUUCUUGCCGGUGCUUGGCACACGGUUGUAGGCAUGGGGAGGGGAUCUCACUAGAUGAUGAGUUCCUGCCGGAGGAGGGGAUACGAUGAGGGUUAGGCGCCUCUAUCUGGCCAUAAGGAGUCGUAGUUGCCGCGCCAUAACCUCAGAGUUCUCCGUGUGAGGCAUCGAGGCCUGCCUCCAACUGCAAGUACUUCGCUCCGCCGUGCCUUAUCCGCGCGCCGCCGCCGUUCUGCAUCGAGCAGACGCAUCAUCCCAAGUCGUUGUAGCUGUCGCGUUGAUUUGAUCCAGAAGCUGUGCUCGAGCGCCGAAACGGGGGCAGCAAGCGGGCAGAGAUACGACCGCGGAGGCAGGUGGGUUGAGAUCAACAACAGUGGUGGUUGAGGUCGGCCGCGGCGGGCGAGUGGUGUGGUAGCGGCCUGGGCACAGGCCAGGGUGGACCAGGGUCGACGCGAUGCGCUCGAGCGCCGCAACAGGGGCAGUGAGAGGGGAGAGGUACAUCCGCGGAGGCGGGUGGGUUGAGAUCGGCAGCGAUGGCGGUUGAGGUCGGACGCUAUGGCGAGUGGUGUGGCGGCGGCCUGGGCACAGGCCAGGGUGGCCCAGGGUCGACGGGAGGAGGCGAUGCGUACGGGUAUAAUUUUUGCAGCGAAUCGUUUUUUCUUUUUGCGUUGCAGAUAAAUGAUGGAGCGCGGGUUGAAUAACAAAAAUUACAGGGGCUUUUUUAUAAAAAUACCGUGGUGGGUUUUCCGACGGAAGCAAUAACCGCUUUAUUAUUAGGUAUAGAUUUGCCUUGAUAUGGAUGUGUGGCCAUACUAGAAAGGACCGAGUUUGCGUUGAUGAUAUACGAGGUAGAGUUGGGAUAACAACAAUUGGAAAAAGCUUGUUCAACAUCGUCUAAGAUGGUUUGGACAUAUUCAACGCAGGACUCUAGAAACUUUAGUGGAUAACGGAUGGCUAAAGCAGGUUGAUAAUAUCAAAAGAGACAGGAAUAGACUGAACUUGACAUGGAAGGAGUCUGUAAAGAAAGAUCUGAAAGGCUGAAGUAUCAUCGAAAAACUAGCCAUGGACAAGAAUGCGUAGAAGUUUGCAAGCCAUGGCCAAGGUGAGGUGGGCACCAUCCGGUUUAAAUAAACAACCUUCUAUUUUUCUAGAACACUAAUCAAUGCAAGCAAUGAUGUUAUGGCCGAUGGGCCAAGCACACACUCGUGAGGCUUAAAAUUUUUGUUUCUGAAUUUUAUAUAUUCAAACUCCUCGCGCCCAAACCUUGAAAAUUACAUCAAUCUUGGAUACAUUUCAAACACAUUACAAUUUCAAUGAUUCAACCCACUUUUCACUUAAUCAAUUUCAGUGUGUAAAAUUAUAUUUUUAUCUGACUGAAAUAAGUUUAUUGAACUAAGUGAAAUUAUAUUGAUCAAAAUUAGUGAAAUUUAUUUUUGGAAAAUAGUCCAAACAACUUUCAAAUUGAGUGGAAUCUAUUUUUCAAGAUAGCCGAAAUCUAAUUUAUUUCUGAUGAGUUAAAUUAGUUUUCUGAAAUGAAUGAAAUAAUAAUAUAGUCAAAAAACGACUUAUAUUAAGUUAUAGAGGAGUAUGCUUUUGAAAUAAGUGAAAUUACUAACUUUGAAUUUAUUUAAAAAAAUGAAAAUUAGAGAAAUUUGUUUUCUAUCCAAGUACAAUUACUAUUUUUUAUAUGAGUGAAAUUAUUUUCUUGAAUUGAGUGAAAUCAUUUUCUGAAAUAUGUGAAAUGUUAUGUUUGAAUUGAGUGAAAUCACUGUUCGAAAGGACUGAAGUUAGUUUUUUGAAUUAGAGAACAUUUUUCUGUAAAUGAGUGAUUUUUUUCUUUUAUUGUGUGAAAUAUGUAUUUAUUUGAAAUAAGUGGAAUCAACUUUUUAAAAUGAGUGAAAUCCUCAUUCGGUAUUAGUGAAAUAUGUUUUUGUCAAUUAGAAAUAUCAUUUCUUAAAGUGAGUGAACUUAUAUUGAAUUAACUGAAAUCAGUCUUUUGAAAUGAGUUAUAUUAUUAUUUUUGGAACUAAGUGAAGUAUGAGUUUUGAAUUCUGUGAAAUAUGUCAUUUGAAAUGAAUGAUAUUAACUUUUUGAAAUGAAAUUGAUGUUUUGAAAAAAGAGAAAUCAGUCUUAUGAAAUUUUAAAUGGAAUAAAAUCUACUCAACACUUAUAUUGUUUGAAAGAUCUUGUCAUCAAUAGUUCAAAUGUAUAAAAAGGUUCAAAGUUGGAAGAAUUGAUCUCUCACAAGUAAAUAAAAUACUAGCAUUUCUUAGUGGGGUGAGGGGCCGGGGUGGGGGAAGCUAUGAUGGGUGUGGGGAGGGGGGAAGCUAUGAGUAUGCAUGCGUAUAUUUCCGUGAGUGGAUCUAAGUUGGUGGAAAUAUGUUCAUGUAUCAUAAGACAGUGUUGGUCUUGUAGAGCGAUGUAUUGCACAUGAAAAUGUUUCAUUACUUUAUACACAGAAGGGAAACAUGCAUUUGAACACAACAAUCAGCGCUAGAUUCUUCAUGGGCACCUACCGGAACUGUUAGAAUUUUUUUUAGCAAUAUAUAAGUGGCCUAAAAAUCUGCUUUGUAUUACCCGAUUUUUCUGACCAUUUCUGCUUUAAGAUACGUACACCUUUUAUUUCUUGUACUUUCUAUGAGUUGUUUUGGGCUGAUUGUUUUUUACUAGCCACAUAUUCGCGCUAGUCAACUUAUUAACGGGCUGAAGCCCAUUACCUGUGUGAUCUUUGGUCCCACCUCCCCUUUAUUUAUUUUUGUUCUGUUUUUUGCCUUUAUAUGCUUUUCCAUGUACGUAUUAUUUUUUCUUUAUCAGACAGGUUUGUAAUUUUCUCUAUUUUGAGUGCAUUUUCGGUAUGUUUUGUGAGUGUAAAUGUAGACUAAAAAAUAAUAUAAAAUGUACGGGGAAUGCAUUAUUAUAUGAUUAUUCGUUGCAUGCCACAAAAAAGCGUUGUUCCAUUACAAAGAUGUGUGCAAGGUUUUUUCAUAUACUUUGUUCUUAAAGGGUAACACUAAUACCACUAAUUCAUUGGUCCUUAUAAAAAAUCCUUAUUUUGAUCUAUUUUGGUUAGUAUUAUUUUUUCUAUCUUUUUAUGGGUGAUACCAUAUGGCUGUAGUUCAUUCCUUCUUAGUAUUAUCUGCUUAUUAUGGCAAAUUAUAAAAAGAAAUUUUGUGUGGAUUUUUCUACUAUUUUUAAUGUUUUUAUUUUACUUAUUCUUAAAUAUUCUUCCUAAAUGGCAAUACCAAUACCACUAAAUAAUUUCUUCUUUGAUUGUUUUUCAAAAAUUACAUUAUUAUAUGCUUAUGCUUGCAUAUUAUGAAAUUAGCUAUUUGUGUAUUCUAGUGGUUCAACAUCAAACAUGUCCGACGUAUACGUCACACUCAAUAUAUUCUAGAUUUUCAUAAGAUUUAAUAUGAUUUGAAUACGGGUAUGGCAAGGCAAAGAAAGUUUGUAUUUUGGCAACAAUCAUGUCCCUCAAUCAUGUCGGACUUAAUGUGUUGUCGUGGAAAGUACCAAUUUCGUUUUGACUAUUCAAAGUUACUCAUUUAUGGUUGUUUUUUUAUUUUUACGAAAUUUGUUAAGAUUACCACAAAAAAAAGUAACCAAAGUGGAAGGUGAGGUGUGUGUUGAAAAUACGUCCGUUGGAUCCAUCGCAAAAAAAAAAACACGUUCGUUGGAUGUUAAUGGUGUAGGAAAAUGUGUCUGGAAUUGAAAUAAAUUUCAGGCACCUGGACACCUGGUGCAUAGGCGCUCUCUUACUUUAUAUUUGUCUACCCGCAAAGAAAAAAACUUAUGGAGUAUAUAUCCACAUAUCUGCAGUCGUGCUGUGAUGUGUUUGCUCGGUUUGUCCUGUGUGAAGAAAAAAAAAACGUCCCUCCUGGUAGCUUGUCGAUCGUGAGGAGCUGGCUUGAGAAUGGAAUGCUAUUUUGUCCGCUAUACAAAAUAAUUCGAUCGAUCCGUGCAAGUCCCUCUCAAGUGCCCCGAAUUUUCCAGCACAAGACGAAUAUCCAUGAAGCGUUGCAGUUUUUUCCAACCUACUUCCUCCGUUCCUAAAUAUAAGUCUUUUAAAAAAUUUCACUAGAAGUCUACAUACAAAGCAAAAUGAAUGAAUCUACACUCUAAAAUAUGUCUAAAUACAUCUGUAUGUAGUUUACUAAUGAAAUCUCUAAAAGAACUUAUAUUUAGGAACGGAGGGAGUAUAUGACACGGCGAGAACGUUCAACAGAUACCAGCUACCUAAGCCACGCCUGGCGUCACUCUCAGUGGAGAAGUUGCAAAGACCAAUAUUGGCUAGCAUGCGAUGUGGCAGAUUUUUCCCAGCCAGCAUUGGCCGGCUUGUAAAUUGUCGUCCCUACCAAUCUUGAAAUAUAUUCCUUCUAGCGAUCCUUCACCCAAGCUACAAAGUACUAUAAAUGAGCACGUCCUAGCCAAUCCCUUGAACCAACAAUACCACAGCAAUCAAGCAAGCCAAGAAACAACAAUGGCCGCCUCCUCGUCGGCGCUCAUCAUUCUCCUUGCCGCAGCCCUGACCGCGGGGGCUAGCGCCAGGAGCUUCUCCAUCACGAACCGCUGCAGCUUCACUGUGUGGCCGGCGGCCACCCCGGUGGGCGGCGGGCGGCAGCUCAACGGCGGCGAGACAUGGAACCUCGACAUCCCCGACGGCACCAGCUCCGCCAGGAUCUGGGGCCGCACGGACUGCAGCUUCAACGGAAACAGCGGGAGAUGCGGCACCGGCGACUGCGGUGGCGCUCUGUCCUGCACGCUGUCCGGCCAGCCCCCGCUGACGCUGGCGGAGUUCACCCUCGGUGGCGGCACAGACUUCUACGACAUCUCCGUCAUCGACGGGUACAACCUCCCCAUGGACUUCUCCUGCAGCACCGGCGUCAACAUUCAGUGCCGCGACCGUAACUGCCCCGACGCGUAUCACACGCCACCGGAGCCCAAGACCAAAGCUUGCAGCGGCAACAGGAGGUUCAAUAUCGUCUUCUGCCCAUGAUGGCCUAGCUCUACCAUACGCAUGCAUGCUUGUCAUGCGCCAUGGCAUGCCACAAUGAUAUUUGUUGUACCGCUUCCAUUUUCCAUGUAAUAAUGGCCGUGCGAAUGUGUACGAGUGUCCAAUAAAGUCGAUACAUAAUAAAGGUAAAUAAUAUUAUCAUUUCCAGUUUAGAAUAUUUAAGUUGCCUUAUAAUAUGCGGUGUCAAGAACGAACCUAGAAAUUGAAAUUUCUAAUAUUGUUCAGUUCUCCCCGUUUUGCUCAAAAACACCCCUCCCCGGCCAUGUUUUCCAGACCUUUCAAUGAUGGUUUGUUCAGGUUUUCAUGUAUUUUGAAAUGGUUCAAGUGGAGGCUUGACAUGCAUACACCCAAGUAGAACUGAAACUAGUGUGAAAAUACAAACAAAAUUCACUGAAAUUUGUACCAAACAUUAUGAACCCAUGGAACCACAUCGAAACUCCUGUACUACAUGCAUAUCGCCACGGUCGCACCCGACUCGCCCUGGCGCGCGCACGCACACGCACCUGAUCCGGUCUUGCUGUGGCUUACAGAAUUAUUCCAACGGGAAAAAGUGGCUGAAAUUAAAAUAAAUUUUGGGUAUCCGAUGCAUAGGCGCUAGCAUGAGAAGGGAAUGCUAAUUUGUCCACUAUACAAGAUAAUUCGAUCGAUACGUGCAAGUCCCUCUCAAGUGCCCCGAAUUUUCCAGCACAAGACGAAUAUCCAUGAAGCGUUGCAAUCUUUUUCCAACGGCGAAAACGUUCAACAGAUACUCCUACGCCGGUUAUCCUAGGCUCGUCGACCGGGUGAGGCUCGCAGAUUUUUCUCGGCCAGCGUUGGCCGGUGCAUACGCAUCGAUGUAAAUUGUCGUCCCUACCAAUCUUGAAUUUUCCUUCUAUCUAUCCUUCACCCCAGCCUUCUACUACUAUAAAUAAGGACGUGCCUUACACCAGCCAACAGCACCACAGCAAGCAAGAAACAAUAAUGGCCGCCUCGUCGUCGAUGCUCAUCCUCCUCCUGGCCGCGGCGCUCGACGCCGAUGCCAGGGCCACCAGCUUCUCCAUCACCAACCGCUGCUCCUUCAUGGUGUGGCCCGCGGCCACCCCGGUGGGCGGCGGCCGGGAGCUCAACAGCGGCGAGACGUGGAACCUCGACAUCCCCGGCGGCACAGAAUCUGCCAGGAUCUGGGGCCGCACGGGCCGCAGCUUCAACGGCAACAGCGGCAGAUGCAGCACCGGCGACUGUGGCGGCGCGCUGUCCUGCACACUGUCCGGCCAACGCCCCAUGACGCUGGCAGAGUUCACCCUCGGCGGCGCUAUGGAUUCCUACGAUAUCUCGGUGAUCGACGGGUACAACCUCCCCAUGGACUUCUCCUGCAGCACCGGCGUUGCGCUACGGUGCCGCGACCCCAGCUGCCCGGACGCAUACCACCAGCCCAACGACGUCAGGACCAAACCUUGCAGCGGCAACAGAAGCUUUCAAGUCGUCUUCUGCCCAU
rnacentral:lncRNA from 1 species